rnacentral:rRNA from 1 species
GACGAACGCUGGCGGCGUGCUUAACACAUGCAAGUCGAACGGAAAGGCCCUGCUUUUGUGGGGUGCUCGAGUGGCGAACGGGUGAGUAACACGUGAGUAACCUGCCCUUGACUUUGGGAAACUUCAGGGAACUGGGGCUAAUACCGGAUAGGAACUCCUGCUGCAUGGGGGGGGUUGGAAAGUUUCGGCGGUUGGGGAUGGACUGGCGGCUUAUCGGCUUGUUGGUGGGGUGGGGGCUUAGCAAGGCAUUGCCGGGUAGCCGGCCUGAGAGGGGGAACGGCCACAUGGGGACUGAGAUACGGCGCAGACGCCUACGGGAGGCAGAAGUGGGGAACAUUGCACAACGGGAGGACGUCUGAUGAAGAGGCGCCGCGUGCGGGAUGACGGCCUUCGGGUUGUAAACCGCAGUCGCCUGUGACGAAGCGGGAGUGACGGUAAUGGGUAAAGAAGCACCGGCUAACUACGUG